CCGUCUCAUCGUGACUAUAAAUAUCUCCCUAAUUCUCGUUUUUAGUUUUCUUUUCGAGUGUCUAGAGAAAUCAAACAUCAAAUUACUCUGCCUCUUCGUCGCCCAGUCCCAGCGUUUUCGGUCUCCUCCCGCGAGUCAUCGCAUGCUAUCCAUUUCUUCUGUUCAGUUCGAUCACUUCCUGCAUCGGCAUGGAAUAUCGCCUCGGAAGAUAGUUCUCAGAUCUGUUUGGUUAGCUUCAAUCCGCGAGGAGAAGAAAACUGAAAAAAGCGAGAGUCCGAGCUCAACUGUUCCUCUGUGCCUGCGGAUUACCAGGAAAGGAACAUUUCAUCGAUAGAUUGAAAUAAACUACAAAAGAGUCCGAACAAGAGGAUUUACAAAAAAAAAACUCUUCCACUGUGAAAUGAGGGAAGAAGGGGUGUAAUUACAAAAGGAGGUUGUGUUUUUUACACCACAAAAGAGAAAAGCAAGUAGUAUUCUGCAUGGUUGUGUCAAAAUUUGGUUGUUUUUCUGUGAAGACUCGAGUGUUGUGUUCUUUCCAAAUACUCCAGAAUAAAGCUCUGAUGAGUUUUUUUUCCUGUUUUUAUUGGAUGUCCUGUGAGAAUGUCGGAAAGGAAAGUGUGAUUUUUGUUGGGGAAGGCAGUAAACCAACCGAAGGAUGCAAUCAGCAUGAUCAAGUGUAUCUGUGUUUCAGCAUCCCUGUAACAAAGAGGACAUAAUUGUGGGAGAGAUAGAGCCAAGGGAGCCUCCUUUGUAGACAAUCUUGAGUUAUGAUGCAUGAAUGGCUGAGCUCCCAUAUAAAACUUUUGAUCUUCUUAGGGUAAGCCCCUUUUCCAAUAUGAGAAUAAAUGUUAUCACCUCCCGUGCAAGAAGAAGUCCAUGUUUGAGAGAGGGACUUCGAAGAAAAAAAUCUCAUCCUUUUCAACGUUCCAAGGCCAGUAAUCAGCAUUCUGUGAGGAGGUAAAUUGGGAAAGCAAGUUGGAGUGAUUAACCCACUUUUCAAUUUCAGCUUCUCUAAUGUUCCUUCUGGAGAGAAGGUUCCCGGAUCGAUUCUCAGAGGACCAACAAUUUCUUGCAGUCACCUGCAUUCCGUUAUCUACUGCUGGAACAGUUUACUGUAGUUGAGCAAGAGAGAUUCAAGCAGGAGAGAAGAGAAUGGGAAAGAAAAAGGAACGACCAUUGAAAGAGUGAUGGAAUCAAUUGACGAAUGGUAACAAAAGCAAUUGGCGAAGGGAUGACUACAGGUGGUGGCAAGCGAUGAAAGCUGGGAGGAAAGGAGGAGAAGAAGGGUAGUGGGCCCAAGAGCUUUUGAACGAGGCAAGAGAGAAGAAAUGAGGAUAAAAAAAAAAGACUGGCAAAUGGUGACGGAAACGACCAACAAACCGACCGGAAAACAACGAAGGGACAACAACCGGCGGCUUCUGUGGCACGCAAGGGGGACUUUGAGCAACAUCACUCGCUCAAGAAUCCCAGAUUCAUGCUCUCACGACUGUUGUUUAGGAUCUUUCUUUCAGCAUGUCAGAAGUAUCGAUGGGUACUAAUACGUCCAAAUUCACAAUCAUUCUGGAUGCAACUAGCAAAGCCAGUAAUUCACCAGGUCUGUUCUUCUUAUCCUAGUCAAAUUUCUAAACCCUCCUCUCCUCCCCACCCCCACAUUCCACAACAUACUCGUACUAGCAAUAACUGUGAUGUGCAAUACCUAUUAGUCAUCAUCGUAUCAGAAUCUUUACUAAUAGGAAAUCUAGAAAUUUGUGUUUCAACAAACAUACAUGAUUCUUUGGCUAAUAUGUCUGAUAUCCAGAGGAAAGGAAAAAUAAUAGUUCUUGUGCUAAAGAAUACCUUGACUUCAGAAGUCGAGUUCCCAAGCUGAUGGUGCUCCUCUUUUGUUUUAUUAUAUCGUUCUAUUAGUGUUUUCAUGCUGGUAAUACAACAAAUAAACCAUGAGUUAGAGAUGGAAGUCCUCUUCCUAUUUCAUAAAUGGAUUAUCAUAUGAAAAACAUAAUGAUAUUUGCAAGAAAUGAAAAUUUAUUGGGAAGACAUGGAAAGUUGAAAAUAAAACAAUUACCUUGCGAGCCUUAUCAAUAGGAUGACCCUAUUUACUCCUGAUUCCUUUUAAUCUAGUUUUCCCAGAUAAACCUAAACUCUUAAUCUCAUAAAGUCGGCCCUUUACCUUUUCAAGAUUCUCCUCAGAAUUCUAUGGAAGAACAUCAAAUUUUCUGGUAGGUAGAAUGAAAUUUGUAGUCUCAUGACAACAUUAGAGGGGUGGUAAAUAAGGUUGCCUAACAAUUGAACGAAUCUUUUCAUUAAAUCCAAUGGCCAGUUUAUCCUACGAUAUCCAAAGUUGAAUUCAAACAAAUAAAUUUUAACAAGUUCACCUAUUAUGCAGAUAAUAAUGAAAUAAUAUUCAGAACUAUGUUCAAAACAAUACAUGGUCAGCAAUAAAAUUUACAAUUUAUCAAUGAAUUCAUAUUAGAGUAUGAACAGCACUUAAAUUGAAGAGGUGGGAUAGAGAGUUUAAACACAAAUUUGCGACCUAUGAUGAAACCUAAUUCUCAAUGUGUCUCCAUGAAUAUUUUAGUGCCAGCCAGUUCUUUUGUUGCCUAACUUAUUGCAUGGAGAUAUAGGUUAGCGAAUGGGGCGUUGAUAAUUGAAUAUAUUGCCUUUUCUAAUCUGUAGAGACAUGCAUCAUGCACUUUAAAUGUCUUCCAGUUGAAUGGUGCAAAUUUUAGGUAUCUACAUUAUGGAGUGUCACGUUGCUCAAAGUAAAGGAUUCCUUGCACUCAUCGGUCAGGUAUGCCUACAUAUUCUUAAAUCUUCCAUGGGUUAGUUGUAUGAUUUAAGCCCUAGAAUGUUUAAUCUGAGUUAACGUAAAAUUUUAUGUGAAUAUUUAUGGUGCACUCUUUUACCCUCUUUGUUUUGCCAAUCAUCUUGCUAGUUACAGAAACGAGAAAUUCAUUAAACUGAAAACAUGACCAAAAAAAAAUUUAAAGAUAGAGUAUCUCGUAGAAAAUUAUGAUUAUAAGGUUCACUGGGGAAAUCUUCUGUUUUACAUAGGAAUAAAACUUCAUCAACGAGAUACAACUGUAAGACAAAAGCUAAAGGAGUUGCAAGAAUCUUCUCCAUUGGCACAAACCACUCAGAACCAUUACAAAGACCCAAUAACGAACAAGAAAAAAAAAAAAAAAAGGACUCGUACAACGAAAAACACUUGAGCAAACAAAACAAAGUGAAACUUGCAAAGAAAGAGUCUAAAUAACCAAAAACGCAACCUCAAUGGCCGCCCUCAGAAAACCAAGAAGACAACGCCUGAGAACCAUAGAACUCCGAAACAAAAGGCCCGAAAACAGAGCCAAAUAGAAAAAUAGAGGAAAAACUAAGAUUCCUCAACCAAAUAGAAAAACCACCAAGGAGAAAAGCAAAAUUGAGCCCCAUAACACCAAGAGAGAAUCACUGAACCCAAACCUCAAGAGAACAAACAAACAUCAAAAACAAAUUCCUGGUGAGUCCAUGGAAGGAAUUGUACGCAUCUCAAGACCACAAGCAUUUAUAAAAGGAUUUAAGUUAUGCAUUAGUAGAGGUAACAAAAAUUCAGUUUUUCCGAAUGACCUGCCUCUCUUCUUUUAAAAAGAGUCUUCUAUCUACAAUGCCCAGAAAAUGGUCUUAAUGGCAUUGAGCCUCACCUCAUUUCUUUCUUAUGUAAAAAAAUGUUUUCCUCUAAGCUUCAUACUUGGGAAG